GCCUAGUGGUGCAAUUAGUCUUUUUUUUUUUUUUUGAGGGUUUUAAUAAAGUUCAUGAUUUCAAUUCAUAGUUUAUUUGAAGCCAUGCCAACGCGUGUUGGAACUGGUACAAUGUGGCUAUGUCAGCUUUGCAUUUUUUUUUGCAAACAAAGUGAUGGGUUUUGGUUUAAGGAAAGCCACGAUUAGCGAAAAUUGGGACGGGGAAGUUUCGAGACGCUUCUAGAAGGUUUCGGAGUGCGAGGAGAGAGGAGGUCAUGUCAUGCGUGCUCCAAAACAACCAGAGAAAAAUAUCGUUUUAUUUUGAUUGUUUUGGCUGGACGGUUGAAGAUACGUUUCUGUGUUGUACUCGUUCGUGUCCAACGAGAUAAAAAUUGUGUCAGGAAACAGAGUUUUUAGCUCGUCACGUCGAGCUGCCCCGCCGCGACACCGAUAGCGCUUCGUCGUGCUCCCGGCAACGCGCGAAGUUCCUCGGGCCUCGUUGGACGUUUCAUCUGCGGCUGAAACACGAGUGGACGACGAUCCCGACCUUCUCCUGGUGGCGGCUGCGUGGACAGACGAGCAGCUUUCCAGCAAAGUGGAGAGGUGCACCAGCGAUGGCAAACUGACCCAGUGUGUCACAGGAGUGAAGGGGGGAAACACAUUACGGAGUACCUGACUGACUCGCUCAGUCCCUCGCUGAAAUCUUACAGGCAGCCGAUCAAGACAAAGUGAACAUAAAUCGGGCCUGAAGAAAGGGGAUUGAACGCAAAUCCGACUGCACAGCCCCAGGUGUUUCAAGACACAAGCGCUGCCUCCUGUGCUACUGUGUUACCCACUGGUGGCAAAGUAUUGCACAUUCAUGGAAACAAGUGACUUCCUUAAGCGGAGUGAUGGAAACGGUGAUCGGAUGGAGAAGAGGAACUGCAGUACUAGGGAUCGCGUCCUUCACGACGGCAAGAGAGGAAACAAAGUCUUCAGUGCUUGGAAUAUUAUAAUUUGUUAUUCUGAACUGAGCCCCUGCCUUCAGUUUCUAUAAUGUCACUGAAAAUGAUAUUAAAGUGAGCAACAUUUGAGCUAAGUACAUACAUUGCUCAAGCGUGAAGGCGGCAGGAGUCGGCGGGUAUUAUUUUGCGAUCGCUCUCAUUUCGCCGAUCGCUGUGGGGAAGACUGCGUUUGUAGACACAUUGCAGCUGAAUGAUGUAUCACCUGUCGACUUGUGCCUCAGCUUGGAUGCCGGGUCAAGAUCCUAGCGUCCUCCCCGACUUCAUCUUUCUUUCACCUGUGUGUCUCUCUCUGCUAAACAUUGUGUGACAGUUUGGCAGAGAAGAAGCGAUAGCAUCUCCUGGCCUAGCUCCCUCCUAUCAGCCUGACUUCCGUUUGCUCUUGUGCUCAUUGCUUUCCUGCCACACUUCCCCCGUAAUUUUGACUUCAGGAAUGCCACCGCCCCAAACCUUUUGCCUCAUACCCUCCAGAGCAUGAGCUUUACCUUUGAAUACCUCGAACCAAGAGUAUUACAACACCCGAUUCCAUCAAGUUUGCCAAAAAAUAUCCGUGCCUUAUGUUCACUCUGUAUUACGGAUGCUUCUCGACUCGGCGAUGAUUCGACUUUGGAUUUUUGUGACUUUACGAUGGUGAGCUGACGAUAGACAUUCUGUGGAAACCGUACUUGGAUUUUUGAAAUUUGUUUU
rnacentral:lncRNA from 1 species